rnacentral:rRNA from 1 species
GACGAACGCUGGCGGCGUGCCUAAUACAUGCAAGUAGAACGCUGAAGGAGGAGCUUGCUUCUCUGGAUGAGUUGCGAACGGGUGAGUAACGCGUAGGUAACCUGCCUGGUAGCGGGGGAUAACUAUUGGAAACGAUAGCUAAUACCGCAUAAUAGUGGAUGUUGCAUAACAUUUGCUUAAAAGGUGCAAUUGCAUCACUACCAGAUGGACCUGCGUUGUAUUAGCUAGUUGGUGGGGUAACGGCUCACCAAGGCGACGAUACAUAGCCGACCUGAGAGGGUGAUCGGCCACACUGGGACUGAGACACGGCCCAGACUCCUACGGGAGGCAGCAGUAGGGAAUCUUCGGCAAUGGACGGAAGUCUGACCGAGCAACGCCGCGUGAGUGAAGAAGGUUUUCGGAUCGUAAAGCUCUGUUGUAAGAGAAGAACGAGUGUGAGAGUGGAAAGUUCACACUGUGACGGUAUCUUACCAGAAAGGGACGGCUAACUACGUG